UGGGCAUAUCAUUUUGAAACACCAGUUCCCAUAUGAUCACCAUAGUAAAGCAAUGUCAAGCCUAGUCAGUACCUAGAUGGGUGACUGCUUUGGUAUACCAGCUGCUGUAAG